rnacentral:rRNA from 1 species
CAGCAGCCGCGGUAAUACAGAGGCCCCAAGCGUUAUCCGGAUUUACUGGGCGUAAAGGGUGCGUAGGCGGUCGGGUAAGUCUGAUGUGAAAUCUUCGAGCUCAACUCGGAAACUGCAUUGGAUACUAUCCGGCUUGAGGACUGGAGGGGGGACUGGAAUUCUCGGUGUAGCAGUGAAAUGCGUAGAUAUCGAGAGGAACACCAGUGGCGAAGGCGAGUCCCUGGACAGGCCCUGACGCUGAGGCACGAAAGCUAGGGGAGCAAACAGGAUUAGAUACCCUGGUAGUCCUAGCCGUAAACGGUGCGUAUUUGCUGUAAAAGGAAUCGACCCCUUUUGUGGCGUAGCAAACGCGUUAAAUACGCCGCCUGGGAAGUACGGUCGCAAGAUUAAAACUCAAAG